rnacentral:rRNA from 1 species
AACGAACGCUGGCGGCAUGCCUAACACAUGCAAGUCGAACGAAACGUUCGGGUCUAUUGGCGCACGGGUGCGUAACGCGUGGGAACCUGCCCUUAGGUUCGGAAUAACUCCCCGAAAGGGGUGCUAAUGCCGGAUAAUGUCUUCGGACCAAAGAUUUAUCGCCUUUUGGUGGGCCCGCGUUGGAUUAGCUAGUUGGUAGGGUAAAAGCCUACCAAGGCGACGAUCCAUAGCUGGUCUGAGAGGAUGAUCAGCCACACUGGGACUGAGACACGGCCCAGACUCCUACGAGAGGCAGCAGUGGGGACUAUUGGACACUGGGCGAAAGCCUGAUCCAGCAAUGCCGCGAGAGUGAUGAAUGCCUUAGGGUUGUAAAGCUCUUUUACCCGGGAUGAUAUGGCCGUUACCGGGAAAAUAGGCACCGCCAACUUCGUU